CACGUGACUAAUCUACCUUCGAGUGGGGAAUAACCUCGGGAAACCGGGGCUAAUACCGCAUAACACUUACGAGUCAAAGCAGCAAUGCGCUUGAAGAGGAGGUCGCGGCAGAUUAGCUAGUUGGUGGGGUAAUGGCCUACCAAGGCGAUGAUCUGUAUCCGGCCUGAGAGGGCGCACGGACACACUGGAACUGAAACACGGUCCAGACUCCUACGGGAGCAGCAGUGGGGAAUUUUGCGCAAUGGGGGAAACCCUGACGCAGCAACGCCGCGUGGAGGAUGAAGUCUCUUGGGACGGUAA
rnacentral:rRNA from 1 species